GACGAACGCUGGCGGCGUGCUUAACACAUGCAAGUCGAACGGAAAGGCCCCUUUGGGGGUACUCGAGUGGCGAACGGGUGAGUAACACGUGAGUAACCUGCCCUUGACUUCGGGAUAACUUCAGGAAACUGGGGCUAAUACCGGAUAGGAAUCCUUGCUGCAUGGUGGGGGUUGGAAAGCUUCGGCGGUUUUGGAUGGACUCGCGGCUUAUCAGCUUGUUGGUGGGGUAGUGGCUUACCAAGGCUUUGACGGGUAGCCGGCCUGAGAGGGCGACCGGCCACAUUGGGACUGAGAUACGGCCCAGACGCCUACGGGAGGCAGCAGUGGGGAAGAUUGCACAAUGGGCGGAAGCCUGAUGCAGCAACGCCGCGUGCGGGAUGACGGCCUUCGGGUUGUAAACCGCUUUCAGCAGGGGCGAAGCUUGUGGUGACGGUACCUGCAGAAGAAGCACCGGCUAACUACGUG
rnacentral:rRNA from 1 species